AACGCUAGCUACAGGCUUAACACAUGCAAGUCGAGGGGCAGCAUAAAAGUAGCAAUACUUUGGUGGCGACCGGCGCACGGGUGAGUAACGCGUAUGCAACCUACCUAUCAGAGGGGAAUAACCCGGCGAAAGUCGGACUAAUACCGCAUAAAACAGGGGCACCGCAUGGUGAUAUUUGUUAAAGAAAUUCGCUGAUAGAUGGGCAUGCGUUCCAUUAGGUAGUUGGUGAGGUAACGGCUCACCAAGCCGACGAUGGAUAGGGGAACUGAGAGGUUGGUCCCCCACACUGGUACUGAGACACGGACCAGACUCCUACGGGAGGCAGCAGUGAGGAAUAUUGGUCAAUGGGCGGGAGCCUGAACCAGCCAAGUCGCGUGAAGGAAGAAGGAUCUAUGGUUCGUAAACUUCUUUUGCAGGGGAAUAAAGUGCAGGACGUGUCCUGUUUUGUAUGUACCCUGAGAAUAAGGAUCGGCUAACUCCGUGCCAGCAGCCGCGGUAAUACGGAGGAUCCGAGCGUUAUCCGGAUUUAUUGGGUUUAAAGGGUGCGUAGGUGGUUUGAUAAGUCAGCGGUGAAAGUUUGCAGCUUAACUGUAAAAAUGCCGUUGAAACUGUCGGACUUGAGUGUAAAUGAGGCAGGCGGAAUGCGUGGUGUAGCGGUGAAAUGCAUAGAUAUCACGAAGAACUCCGAUUG
rnacentral:rRNA from 1 species